GGGUCGAUAGCUCAGUUGGUAGAGCAGCGGACUCUUAAUCCGCGGGUCACAGGUUCGAUCCCUGUUCGGCCUACCA
rnacentral:tRNA from 2 species